CCCCCUCUUGAUUCAUGGAGGUCGUUAGUGAGUUGUAGGAUGGUAUUUACAUUUCCAAGGUAUUUGUGCAAGCUCUCUCCCAGACUUACAAGUUCAUGGGGAGGAGGUGACCUUCACUGGUUCUUGUUUUGCCCUGCAUCAGGGCCGCCUGCUUGACUACAGUGCCUGGGUACCGUAAUCAGAAUAAAUCACCCUUAUCAGCGCGGCAGUGAUGCAGCGCUGGAAACAGAACCAGGCGCCUGCUCUAUGCUUUGUGAAAAUGACAUCAUGGAGCUGAGUGGGAAGGGGGGCAGGUCGGGGGUGGGCUCCAGGCAGCCUUUGUGAGCCUGUCCACCCCAGGCAGAGCACUGCACCUGGCUGGGGGUAGUUCUGAUGCUAAUUGUGUGUUUGGGGUACCCAGAGCUUCUCACAGGUAACUUUUGCCUAUCUAAAGUCAGAUAAGUAAUGAAUAGGAAGUAUUUCCAAGGGGAAAAAAGGAGGAUGGUGGUGUGGUGUUCUGGUUUAGCCUGUAGCAGUUCUUGUAGCAACUAAAACUAGUGCAUUUUAAUAUGCUCCCAAGCUGUUUCUUCCAUCCACGGGCAAAUGGCACGACACAGUUUUUCAUUGUGGUUGUCUGAUCUGUUUUGGAGGGAAAAAGGUCCACAGUGAGUAGUGGAACUGUUGAAGAGUGAUUAUUGUUUUUCUCUUUUCCCCUGUGGAUUUAUAUGGUUCUCACAGUGCUGAGAGCUGACUUCAAGAGUGUUGUUGUAAUACUGAGGAAAAUGAGCACAUCUUACUAGACUUUAGAGAAUCCACUGCUAUGGAUACCAUAAUCACAGGAAAAAACUUUACACUUUGCAUGUAUUAAAACCCAGCAUCUCCUUAUAAGAGAGAGUGGCUGAAGGCUGGGUUCUCUGAUCCUCAACAAGGUAUGAUGAUAAUUCUUUCCCUUACAAGGAGGAUUUGCAGAGACCCUGUCCAGCUGCGUGUUUUUAUGAUGCUCGUAGCAGCAGCUUCCUACCUCUGCAGCUGAAAUGUUUCAGAGAGGGUUUUCUGGUUGGUGUCAGGGAGAACAUGACGGUGGGGAGACGUGCAGAAAGGAAAGAGCCAGGAAAAACCACUCCUGCCCCUGACUGUGAAUAGAGGAGCAGACUGCCUGUGCCUCCCUUCCUGGCUGUGGGGCAGAGAUGAGCACGAGUGAUGUUUGUGCUGAACCAUCCUGUGGUCCACGUGGAUCCUCCACACCCUGGUAGGACAAGCAGAGGGCUUUGCAAUGAGCUGCUUUAAGACUCCUGCAUGCCUUCUGUUCUUCCCAUCUCAAAGAGAUGAAGCUUAGCUUUGAAGUCUUUGAAAUUACAUCAAAGGACAAGAUUUCCAGAGCAGCUCAAGGGACUUGGGUGCACACAUCCCAUUGAUGGUCAAUGGGAGCUGGGUGCUUAAUUCCUGAAGGAGCUUUGAAAAGCUUGUCCUUCAUGUAUGUCCUUUUUGAGGAGGAAGUGAGAAGCAGUUGACUUUGCUUUUUUUUUUUUCUUUUUUUUUUUUCUGAAGAUGAAACACGAUGGCUUUAAAGAUGAUGUCCAAAACUCAGACUUGCUGUGAAAAUAACCAGUGGCUUCUUAAAGGAGAGGCAUGUAAAACUGGCCUAUGGUUUUACUUCCAUCCAAAAGAUGGUAACUCAUAACUCCUUGCUCUUCCCCCACUUCCCCUGUAGGUGUAGGGUAACCUUGUUGGGGCAGCUAUCACCUGUUGGGAGAGUCCCAUUGCCACCAGCACCAGUGUCCCUGCUGCUAUCAGCUGGCACAGUGAGAUGUAGAUAGGGCUUACUGAACUCUGUCAGCUCUGUUUGGCCUGAGCUGAUCAGGGGACAUGCUAUGAGGCUGCUUCAAUCCCACUUCCAUGGGAGGGGGCAGGAGAAGGCAGCAGCCAGAGCUGGCUUUGACAGGUUGCCAGGGAGAGGCAAAGGAAACUUGGCUGCAGCCUUGCUCCUGUGCUAUUUUGGUUCAAGGUAAUAACAGGAACUAUGCUGUAAAUAAGAAUAGACAAGUGAAGAAUUUCCCGCGUCUGUCUCCAGUCAUUUCUUUCCUUGGGAGAAAUUAUCUUGCUCCAGAAGAGCAAAUCCUUCUGUCUGCUUCUUGGAAACUGGGACGAUAAUAUUGAAGGGGAAGAAGAAAUUAUGGGAUCAUCACAAGCGGUGUCAGCAGCACAUCGUAUGCCAGGUGCCAGAGAUGCAUCUUCUAAAGCAAAUAACAGUCCUCAGUUAUCGCCAUCCCAAUGCAGAACCACAGGCAAUGGCUGUUCCUUGUGCUGGUUGGGGCUGUCUAAUGGGUGCCCCUUCUCUCAGGCAGCCAGGUGAGGCCAUGCCCUCUCCUUGGUCAGCCUUCCAUGUCCCUCUCUCCAGUCUGUAACCCAACCCCCAGCUGCAGCCAUUAGCUGUUUUCCUGCUGGCAUCCAGCUUCUCUUGCAGAAAUAGACUUCUUGUUCUGUCUUUUUGCUGUGAAGGCUGAAUUUCUGGGGGUUCUUUCUUCUUCCCAAAGGAGCCGGGAAUCCAGCACCAGAUGUGUCAUUUUAUCAGGAGCCUCAGCAGAUGCUUUGAGAAAGCUGCAGGUGUGCUACAAACCUGGUGUGGGUGGUAUGAUGCAGAGUCAGCCCAAGGGACAGCAAAGUGACCUGAAAAUGUCCUUCUGCUAGUGGACUUUGUCUCCUGCAUGUUCCCAUCUCCAGUCAGGGCAUGCACUGUGCUAGCAACAUGUUGGUGUGGGGUUCUUGUUUCUGCCCCCAAAUCCCUUAUGCCCUAUGAUCAAAAUUCUGGUCAAAGUUUACAGAGUUUGAGACCGCAGAGUGGAAAGAAAUGCAAAGCAGCUUGUGAGCUGAGAGGUGUGAAACUGAGGGUGCAAAAGAGCAAAUCUGAUCUGUCAGGUCAGCUUUGUCUGCUGAGAUUAAUCUCACAUAAAACUCGCAUGAGAUCAGGAAACUCGGCUAUACAGCAUUUGGACUUCAGAAGAUCUAGAAGGACCUGUGAAUAUCAUCACUAGCACUGAGGGAGCAGGAUACCUUGGGAAAGAGGAACCUGUGUGCCUUGUGUGAAAUCUGGCAUGGCCCUGAGAAGUCCAGGUUGUGACCUUCUUGUACCACUGCUUUUGUGGAUGUCUGAAGGAUGCUGUGCAAGGUCUUGUUCCCCAUCCACCUCCAAAUGUCUGUAGAAAUGAUGGCAGUUCUGGUGCUAAAGUAACCAAAGCAGCUGUGAAGCUCACCCAGGCCUCUUUCCAAAGCUGCAUUAAUGAGAAGCAGCUGAGAUUGACAGAAAACGCUGCAGGAAAAAUGGGCAGUGGUCCUAAUUUAGGGCUGCUCUUGUAACUCAGGGCACUCUGGCAGUAUAAAACUUAAUGCUGACAAUGUGGAAAGGAGCCGUGCUCACCUAUCACCUUGCUGAGGCCUGGGUUUUCAAGCAGCUGCUCUAUCUGCUUGGGUGCAGGAGCUUUACAGACUAUAUGCUUACCAAACAUUCUGGAAGAAACUCCUUGUAUUUAAAGAUAUAUAUUUUUUUCUGAAGUUCAUGAUCAGGAAUGUGCUAGGUUCAAAGUUUAGUCCUCUGAAUACCAGUUUUUUUUUCAGUCUGACCAGUCUGGUCAAGCACUUAAAUGCGUGCUUAAUAGAGUUAUAAACAGCUUCAGGAGUGUCCUUUGCUGCCCUGCUGAACAGACACAGACUUAAGUGUAAAUAUAGUUGUCUCACUGAAUCAGAGCGUGCUGCUAACGUGCUUACGCCAGCUGAGACAGAGCAGUGCACUGCCUAUGUUAACAAGGUGAGAUUUCAGAGUGACAUCAGAGGACACAGACAUCCUUUUAUUAGUGCUUGUUGCACCGUGACAUAGCUGCAAGGCAAGAGCCUGAGCUGGAGUGGGAGGAUCCUGAAAUGACAGCUUGGAAAGGUCUGGGCCUUUUGAAUCUCUGCUUGCCUUCUGUGCAGGCACACAGUACAGAGGGUUUCUUCUUGCGUGUGCCAUCACACACCUCACUUUCUCAUGGUAGGACAAGUAGGCUACCAAGAGCAGAAAGUAGGACAUUUGGCCUCUCUCCUCUAUGGGAGGUGCAAUGCAGAUUGGUUCCCUGAGAACUAGGACAGUCACCUCUGAAAGUAGAGCAGCUGGUCACCCUGUUUGCAUGUGCCUUACCUUAUAAAUGUACCCUUUAAAGCUCCGGCUGUAAGAGGCAUUUUUGGCCCAUUUAGGGAAAUGUUUUCUCAAAAUAGGGACAGAUACCCUGGAACUGGCCAAAACCUUUGCUUUCCAUCUGGAGCAUAGUCAGAGCUGCAUGCUGGGCAAGGAAAAGCAAGGGGUGCACUGCAUCAUUUCUUGUGUAUUGAGUGCUAGCACAGUGACAAAAGCAGCAUUUGUUUUUCAGCAGCAGGACAUGGACAGAUGACAUUACCCUGCAGCGUUAGAUGAUGCUUUACUGCAACAGGGAACUGUUACUAAAUCAAACUUCUUUGUGUGUGCAUGUGCUUUUAACUGUAUUUGACCAGAAGCAAAAAUGUGACUUUCACUUAAGAUACCUUGAGAAAGUUGAUGGAAGAUCAUUGCCCUUCACUGAGUUCCUUCUCCAAGUGCAACUAGAUGUAUAAUGCUUACAACCCUGCUGGGGUGCCAGUGAUGCCAGGAGGUUGGCAGUACACUGUUCUGGUCAGCAGGAUGUGUCUGGGAAGUGAAUGGCAGGCAGUGUUAGUAAAUAGCAUGGAGGUGCAAGCCAGGUCAGCUGGCAUGGAUGUUAGAAAGGCACUGCUGUCCUUACUUGGGCACAGCCAUUGCUGUUUUCAGCCCACUGCAGCCCAUAGUAAUCUCAUGUGGGAUCCUCACUUUGAACCAGAGGUCACUCAGGCUGGCUGUGCAGUGCUGAAGUCUGGAUUUGCACUUCUGGGACUUGUGAUCAUGGAGGCAGGUAUGAGGCUGAAAUCCUAGUAGUUAGCGAGGGAGGCUAAUGGAAAGGGAAGCCUUCCCAUUUUUGCCUCUAGUAAGUGUGCUGUGGUAAUGAGCCUGGUGGCUCCAGUUGUAGCGAGAAGCUCAGUGCUGUGAGAGCAGGUCUUUAAUCCACAUGACGAGGUGUUUCAUAAGCCAUAUGGGAUGCCCUGAUUUGAAUAUUAAUACCCAGAAUGCUUAUUCAGCUCACAGCCAUUGUGCAGAGAUGCUGUGUCUCUGUGGAGCCAGACCCAGCCUGCGGGUGUUCCAGUUUUGGUUGUUGUUUUUUUUUUUCUUUUCUUGCAAAGACAGUGUCAGGUUGUUCUGUAUUCUUAAUUCAGCAGUAUUAUUCAGCCAAGAAGCCUCUGAAGCCAUUUUAUCCAUGUUAUAUAAUGUUAAAUGAUUUUGGAUUUAAUGAACAUGCAGAGACUAUAGGACAGUGGGUUUGGUCUACAUAGCCAAGUGGCCUGCUAGCGGUGUACUUCAUAAAGUUACUUAUACUUCUACAGGGCAACACCUUCUAAAUUAAAACAGGAGGUAGUGACUGUGCCAGUGAGCCUUCGUAGUUUUGAAGGCCUUCAGCACAAACCAAGGAUGAAUAUUUAGUGUGAACUGAAGUGAAAUUCUAGCAGACAAUUGCUAACUAGAGACGGUGCUUCUGGAUGAAGGCCAUCUCCCUUGCCCUUCACUUCUGUGGCCAUAUGGGCUAUGUGCAUGUAGGGUGAACCUGCAUUACUCUGCCAGAGCUGGUUUUCCUCAGCACUGGGGUUUGAGGCACCUCUAUUUUCAGUACAGGACUGGGUUGUGACCCAGCCUGAGGUGGAUACCAGUGUUCUCACUGGCGAUGGAACAAUAAGCAUGGAUCAGAUGAGGAUGCACUCAAAGGACUUGUGUUUCCAGACUGCUACUUAGUCCCACCAGAGGGUGGCCAAGCUACUUCAGGGCAGCAUGAGACAAAAUCAAGGGCUCUGAUUUCUGUCAGAGAUUUUUGUGAGGGUUGCACAGAUGGGAAUGGCUUUAUCUUGAUUUCAAAUGGUUUGCUUGGUUCUGAUAACUCAGUUACUAGAAAGAGAUAGUUAAGAAGAAGAUGCUCUGUAAUGAGGAAGAAGAGUGUGAAGUGUUGGAGGGAUGGAUGGGUGAGGAAAUCAAGCCAGGUAUAACAAACAGCCCUAGGAUGCGGGAAGGCUUCCUUCCUUGGGAAACACAAAACCUUGAGUCUUGGAAGCUUCUUUAGAUGAAGUGUGGCUGGGCCUGAAUCAGGAAGUGGCAGAGCCUUCUGUGAAGUGACGAAUCUGAGGAGAGGGAUUUGUGUUUCCUCCUUCAAGGAGGCAUGGAAAGUUGUAUGAGGGUGAUUUACAUGUUUAAGCAAGGUUUUGGCAUUUGUGCUCAGCCUUGUGGUUCAUUUCCUCAUUCGCUCAAACGUACAAAGAGUGAACAAAUGUUUGGUAAACAGGAACCUAAGGUUUCAACGAUGAAAAGCUUUCACCCUCACCCACAGAGCUUCUUGCAGCACUGGAAAUGUUUUCCAGACAGUGAUGUGUUGUCUCAUGCGUGAUGUGCUGUGCUGCAUGGCUCCAGCCCUCACCCCACAGCACUGUGUCCCCUUUCUGCAGAGCCCCACACUAAAAGCCUGGUGUACAGUGUGCCCUUUGCUGCUAAGGCCUGGAUUAAGGAGAGAAGCUGAUGGCAAGGCAGCCUCUCCAGGUCAGCCUCUGUGAGUGCUGGCAAGGGCAGAGCUGGGAAACUUGCACAGCUGCUUCCUGGGCUUGGUUCAGUCUAUGAAUAACUGGAGAGCUUUCCAAUCAGUGGGACUGUUGGGCCAGGUAUUUGCAAGCACUUUAUUUGGUGGUUUCUUUUUAGUGUGGUUGCUGGACAGGGAGGACAAAAUAAAGAGAGGAACCUUUCAUGCCUGAGCGUUUUGCAGCAUCCGGUGUUUUCAUGAAACAACAAAGGACUUUAAAGAAGGAAGAACAAGCGCUUGGUUUAUAGGCAUUUAAAUGGACAAAACAAAGAAGGGGCUGUGCUGUUCAGUCAUCUCUCAGAGUCAGGGAUUCCAGAAGGAUGGAUUCACAGGACCUCAAGGCUGGAGCCCGUUCAGCCCACCUUUGCUUGUGCUGCCCUUGGGGCUAGCAGAGCUGGCACUGUAUGGACAGUAUUCAGCUCAGCCUUGCUGUUCAUAUUAGAAAUCCUCUCAGGGAGAUGACUGCAGAUGUCUGGGCUUUCACCCUGAGCCAAGAUGCAUGGGAAUCUGGGAGGCAGGGUUCUGCAGUCUGUGCUCUGGCUUGAACUGCAGGGCCAUGGGGCCUUGGUUCAGGUCUUUGUGCAAGUAUAUAGUGAGAAGCAGCACUGAAACAGAUCUGUUGGCAAGAGGAGGGAGGCUGCUGCUCCCACAGUUAGUCCUUGUGCUUUUUAAAGAGCACUGUGUUGUAACAGUGGAGCUGGGAAGGAAAGGGUGGUGGUAGUGUGCUGCUUAAUCAGCCUUGCUCAUCUCUCCUCAGUGCCCAAGACAACCAAAGCGCAAAAUGAAAGCAAUUGUGCAGCAAAAAAAUGUAAUGCUGGGAGUUCUCUUCGUGACCUGAAACUAGUGUCCGUGAACACGGCUCCUGGGCUUGCAGGGACAGCAAGGUGGGCUAUCAUGACUGUUUGCCCAUUGUGCCUUGUCCUUUGGGCCACAGGAAGCCACAGCUGCAGCCACAGGAUUACGUGUGACCAAGGAAUAGGUGAUCCAUAGCAAAGUGAAGUUUUUCUGUCUCAUUAAGGCUUCCCUGAUUCCUGCUUUCUCCUCUCUGCUGGGGUCUGGUAUCAUUUGGGAAGGAAGGCUGGAGGAGAUAGAACUGAUAAAUGAGUUAUUACUCAUGUUUUCUAGUCACCCAGGGCCUUUGGACCCCUUGCAGAAGUGUAUCAUUUACAACUGAGACGCUUCAGGCAUAACGAGUGAGCAACAUGGGGCCUCUAUACCUGCAGCACAUGCUUCCACCAGAGAUUGCUCAUUUCUGGGCUGUCUGAAGGCUCCAGGUUUCAUUCCAGACCCUGAGGUAAGAGGCUUGGCUGUGUGCACCACUCUCCCCAUCUGACCUGAAGCAUGGCAAGAUCACUUCCAAUUAACCUGAAAGGAAAACUGAGGCCUAAGAAUAUUAGAGAAGUCUUUGGAAGGGUGAAGACUGAAUCAAGUGUUAAUGUUUUAUUAUCUAGCUUUCUUAGCAAGCUCUCUCCUCACUGAGCUCCAGUAAAAUUUUGAAGUCAUGCUUUAGAUGUGGAAGAGACCUCAUAAAUUCUAGUACUUACAGAAUCUCUGAAAAAUAUUUUCUCUUUGAGAAUGUCUUUGUUGAAACCAAAUGAAGAGCAUCUGAGGAGUUUCCAGGGCAAAGGUGGAGAGAUAGUCUAAGCAGUCUUCAGUGGUUUUCAUUAUAUGAGAAUUAUAUGUUGUACAAGGAUAUUUUUUCCAAAAAAAGUCUCAAUUAAAAGUUUCCACAUUACAUAAGUGACUUAAAGCUUAGGACUGAGGAAACUAAAACAUGUUUUGGCUGUGCUACCUUGCCUGGACAGACACCUACAAGCCAUGCUACCUGAUAUGACUGCACUGCAGGAGUGGCAGGGCAAGGCACUGUGCCAGGUCUAGGCUCUGAACCCUAUGUGCUGGUGGGGAUUCCCACCAAGUGACUUCUGCUGAGUACAUAUGAAUUGUCUGCAGUGCUGGUUUUGUGAAAAAUCUAAACUUGCUCCUGUUGGUUUCCUUUUCUAGGCAGUCACACAGGUAUGUUGGGCUUACAUAGAAUUUAAGUAGAGUGUAAGCGAGUUUUGGAUGUGUAUCCUACACAACUGUAUCAUGACCUGGAAAACACAUACAGAUGUGUUCCCUUCUAGUUAAAUUCCUAUGGUGAAUGCCACAUGUUCCUGUUCAGCAGUGUCAUGUACUCAAUUAUCAGCUGAAAGGAUUCCUAAGAAGCUGUGGGAUUGAUGGGAGGUGACCAGAAGGUCAGUAUGGUCUCCCAGGUUAGUAUGGGUGGGGAUAACUGCAAGUAUCAGUAACACUAUCCCAGAUUUGAGGAUAUGCUGGCUCUGUCAGGUGAGUCCCAUCAGGCUAGGUAGUACUUCCUAUGUCCUGUCCAGGAUGAGCUGGAGUUUGUGUGGGCUUUGACACUAGGCAUUUUAGAGCAUCUGCUUAUCUAAAAGCCCUGGUCAGAAAGUAGACGAAAUUUCCAGACCUCCCAGUCAAUAUUUUUGAUGGCUAAGUUUCUGUGGAUCAUAUCUUUAAUGUUAUCCUGAAAUAUAUUUUGGUGUGGUUUAAGUGCGUUAUCACUCAGAGACAACACAAAGUGCCUCAGGCCAUAGGCAGAGGGCCAGAUCUUGUCCAUGGGAUGAACAUUUGCGGUUCCUCUUGACUCCCCAGUAUCUGAAGGUCAAGUCUGACCCACAGACUCCUACAAAGCUGAAAAGAUAAGAGGGCCAAAGAUGUAGUAAGUGGGCAAAGGUAGUUAUCAGUAGUUUCCAGUUGCUUUGUUCUGGCAGGGGGGAACAAUGUACGUAAGAGGAGACAGAUGGAUAAGACUCAGCUUGGUUUCUAGCUGCUGGAGUGUUAAGGCAUUCUGUUAUCUUGCCUUAAGUGGCUUUGAACUCCUACAUAGCUCUUUUUGUUAAGGCCGGGUCCAGUUGUGCCCUUGACUGACUGUACGUUGCUUCUGCUGACUUAGGCAAGUCUGUCUUGCAAGCAGGUUGUUCUGCAGUGAGGUUAAGGGGCAUUCAGGUGCUCUGUCCCUGGUCUGCAAAGACCUCUCUGUAUGUAGUCCUUCAUGCAGACAUCAGUGAGUCAGCAGUACUCAUUGCUGUCUGCAAAACAGUGAUGCCAAGAAGGCAAACACCUUAAGAAACUCACUCUUAUGUGCAGACGUUAUAAAUGAAAAAAGCAUGCUAAGCCUUUGGGCAUUCUACAAGGGAUAUCCAGGGUGCUGGUCUUUGAGCAAGUGCUGAAGAUUUUGGGUUUUGGUGUGGUAACGUGACCUGUGUUCUUCAUCCUUAUGCUUUCUGCAUACAGAAAGAUGAAGGGAUUCCUAGACACUGGGAGGAAAACAGCUAAGCCCACCUGAAUGAAGAGCAGGCAUCCUGAGAGAGCUGACCUUUGGCUGUUCAAGAUCUCCCAUGGUGGAUCCUUUACGAAACUGUUCCCGCUCCUUACAGGAGUGUUGAAUUUAUCCAUGCCCUCCUGUGCAGGGACUGAUGAAAUCUCUCACAAAAUGGAAACAAACCUGCAACGGCACAGGCGCUGCUGCAUUUGGCAGAAGAACAAAGUCUUAUUGUGUAGGCUUUGAACAUUCCAGCAUCAGCUGGGACAAAUGUGAUUGCACUCCUCCAUCUCCAAAGCCAACUGGACAAAGAGUGUAAAAGUUCAAAAUCCCAAGAAUACCUCUUCAGAGACCUGAAAAUAGCAUCUCCUCUUCUCUUGAUUUAUCCCCUUUGGACUGACCCAGCUCACCAUAUCCAUUUGGUUAUGCGGCUCAGCCAUCAGCAUGUGUCUACCCACCGCUGGAUGCUGUGCUUGCUGCUGCAUCCUGCUUGGGGACAGCCGCAGGCAGGGUUUGGGGUCACACAGGAUUGGUUUUAGAGUAGUCACACAGAGCAAACCUGCUAUUAAAUUUUUUCACAGCCAAGUGGUGGAAAUAGCCUUCCCCCAGGCUCUUGUCCAUCAGGUUGCAAAUGCCGAGGCAGGUUCUGGGGUUGAUGCCUUGGCUCUUGCACAGCUCCAUCCCGGCUCACAAGCCCAGGAGAAUGGGCUGAUCCUUGUCUUGCUGCAGGGCUAUUUUCUGCAGUUUAUUUUCUCUUGUUCUUUCUCUGCCAGUUUUAGCUACAAGGUGCUGCUUGCUGCCUCCUCAGGAAACUGUCGGGUGACUUGCUAUUAAAAGUGCUCAGGAAUCCUGCCCUGAAUUUUAGCUGCCUUUAUAUUUUUUUUUAUUUUUUCUUAUUAAUUUUACACUGGUUUGAAUACUACCUUUUUCAUGCAAGGAAAGCCCGCUUAUCUCAAUAUCUUUGGGAUGUUUUGGACUAUAAUGUUUUCCUCUUGGCUGUCCUUGGUAAAGCUGAUGGAUAAACGGGCAUAUUAAUUUGAAACUGGCUUUUAACCAAUGGAAACGAGCAAUGUUAGGAUAAAGUAUCUUACAUCAAUACAGAGCUUGAUUUUUGUGUCACAAAUGUACCUGGAAGAAAGGGCACCUUUUCUGACAUGUUUAUCUACACUUCAGAAGUGUGACAUGGUGUUACUUUACCACUGUGUACCUGUAUAAUUUUUUUCUCCCUUAAGCCAGUUUUCUCCUUCAGUCUGACGGCUGCUCUGGACGGGAAGUAUCCAGAAGGAAAGAUUGCACAAGAGUGAUGAGAUGGUUGCUUGUGUCUCUGCCCUGGGAUAUAUCACACAGCCCAAAAUUGUCCUGAAACUUUUUCUGUUGACGUGAUAAAUUGUAAACUCAUGUCCAAUUUCCUGUGUGCUAACCCUGCAAAGUCUUACACUGCAUUUGGGUCUCCUCCUCCCAUAGGGUGUCUUAAUUUUGGAAUAUGUCCUCCCUGGACAUAUUAGUCUUUGUGUCCUUCAAUGUAGGUCAUUUUCUCCCCAGGCCCCAUAUCUUUCUUUUAUUUAUUUAUUAUUUUUGUCCUUUUGUGUUAUAUUCUACUCCUUGCCAGUGAUUGCAUCUCCUCCCCAGUGUAGUAUCAAUUGCAGUAUUAAUAAAUGCACUGUCUAAUGCUUUUUCUAGAUCGUUAAAGAAGAUGGUAAAUAAAACUUAGGGUAACACCAGUUUCUAGUAAUAACCCUACUGGAUGUUUCCCUGCAAUGUGACAGUUUGUUGUUGAUUGCUAUUCAUCACUGAGCCUGAACGUCAGUGUCCCUGUGUGGGGUAAUUUACAUUCAUUUAAUAAUAAUUCAUCACAGAAUCAGAGAAAAACGUGGCUAGGAAGGACCUCAAGAGGUUGGUUUCAGAAAUAUUCCUGACGUUUUCAGCCUGCUAUUAAAUGCCUGUAAGGAGACAGCUCUCGCAUCUUUCCCAGGCAGUCAUUGUUCAUGCACUUUGGCCUUCCCCAAGCAUCUAACCUUAAUCUCUCGUGCUGCAACUCAAGCCUGUUGUUUCUUGCUUCCCUCAGAGUGCAUAUAUUUGGAGAACAUCUUAUUCCCACUUUUUCUGGAGAAAUGUUCAUUGUUGAAUGUUAUGUUCCCCCAAUCUCCUUGCUGUGGGUAAACAACCUCUGUAGAAUAAACCCUUCAUCAUAAGUCCUAUUCCCUAGACAUCUGAUCCUACUUCUGGGUUCUCCUGAGAAGAUAAAGAUUGCUUCAGUCCUGGGUAAAGCUGAAGGUUCAGCUGUGUGCUUCACAGACUCAGCUCCUUUCAGUACUCCCUGGUAUAGUGGUAUCUGUGUGUGUGACAAAAUGGCCUUUUUUGUUGUUGUUGUUUAUUUCAGGUUUCUGAGUUGCUGUACUGCUCCACAUCUGCCCAACAGGUUGUCUCAUUUUGUCCUACUGCAGCUGAUUGUACCUAUGUCUAAGCACAGUUUGCUUCCCUUCUUAUUGAAUUACAUCCUGUUUUUUCAGACCUUUCAUCUGUCAUAUCAAGAUAAUUUUUAAUUCUAAUCCUGUUCUCUCACAUCUUUGUAGCUCAUCUCAGCUUGGUGCCAUCUGCAUACCUAAUAAGGAUGCUUGUUAUUCUAUCAUCCAGUGGUUAAUAAAAACGGGAGCAGGCUGGAUCCCUGUUGAACCCUACCUAUCCUUAUGUUUUGCCAAUGAUGCCUUCUUUCUGAGUACAGUUUUCCUACCAGCUUUGCCUUCUGCCCUCAGAAGGACUUCAAAUUUGUGUUUCCUUGGCUCCCUUCUGGUAAUGUGAUGUGAGGCAGUACCAAUGCCCCAACCAAAGUCAACAUGUAAGACUUCUGUUUUGCCUCUAUCUGCAAGCCCUGUUGCACGAUGAAAUUAGGUCAAUUUGAUAUGAUUUGCUCCUGGCAAAUCAGCACUGGCUGUUCCUCUCCUCUUUGUUGUUUCCAAGGUGCUGAUGAUUAGUUAGCUUAAUUAUUUGUUCCAGUGCGUUUCCAGGAACUGAAAUUGAGCUGACUGGCCAUAAUAACUGCUUUGCUCCUCAUUUCCCCUUUCUGCAGCCAGACAGGGAGCUUUUCUAUAAGGAGCCCUGUGACUCAUGAAGGCCCCUCCUAGGCCAGCCCCUUCUCAUGGGUCCUCUGUGGUGGAGCCAAAGCAAUACUUUUCUUACCCAUUCUUUGGCUGCUGCUUUAGAGCUAGAAUACUCUUCUGCUCAUCUUCCUGUUCUAUGCUACUUGUGCCUCCUUUCCGUGCCUUUCUCGACUUUAUCCCUACUUGUAUCUGCUAAACUUUUGUGCCCAUCCUUAGUCAUUUGCACAUCUCGGGUUUUCUGUUGGCUUCCUCCUUGUCUGUGGGGCCACUGCAGAUUUAAUGACUUGGCAAGCUGACCUUGAACUGUUUAUUAACCUUCCUUUGCAUUGGUACGACUUCAUGUUUUUGCCAUUGUGGUGGUUUUUUCUGCAAAAAAUCCCAGCACUGUCUUGGAACUCAUUUCCCUGAGAUCUCUCUUACCAGUCUGCUGGGUUACGUGGGAAUAUCCAUGGUGCUCAGCAAAUCCUCUUAAUGGCAAAGUGUAGAAAACAAGACUUUCAAUGAAAUUGUGGGCUUCACCCACUUCCAAAUAGACUUUCCUGACCUGUGUAUGCUUCUUGUUUUCUCUUUGUCUCUUAGCAGAAUUAACUACCACAAGCCAAAUUCUGACCUCAUUUACACCAGUAAAAUCUGAGUCUGUUCCAGAAAACUGCUAAAGUUGUUUUGGGCUUACAGCGAUGAAAAUGAGAGCGGAAUCUGCCUCAUUAAUUCCCCCAAUCCACAGAAAGCAAAUGAAUCCAAGAGGAAAUAGGUCUUCAGAAGGGAGCCCUGGAAAGAAUUAGUGACAGACUUAAUGGGAUUAUGGGGGAAAAAUGCUUUAACAAAUCCAAAUCAAUCCUCUCUUCAAAACACUCAUGGUGCCAGAAUAAAUAAAAACACUGUUUUGGGAAUGAAAAGGUUAAAAAGCUAUGAAAACAAAAUCUCUCAGCCUGUUCUGAUGAUGGCAGUCCCAUUGCAGAACGAGUGCAACCCAGAAAGGCUGAGUCAGCAAUACCCAACCUCAUUCUUUGUGUUGGUCUAUGGGACUUGGGGGGAAGAAACUCAAAUUUCUCGCUUUAACCAUGAGGUCCUUUUGCAAUUUCAGGUUUGAUAAAAGACAUGUGGAGAUCAGUCAGCAUUACAAGCAGGGAUGGAUGGACAGGUCUGGCAGCCAGAAGCCUUUCUCCUUGUCACCUAGCCAGCUGGACAUUCUUCCUCCAGUGCUAUUCCUCCAGUCUGUGUUUCAGCUUUUUAUUCUCCUGUUAAUUACCAUCUUCUUGCUAUUCUUCACCACCUCAAUACUGUGUAUGGCACCAGAGCUGGAUUUGCCACAAGUAUGAGUAAAAGACCCUGCUUCUGUGGUGUUACAGGAUGUUUCAGGAGCUGCAUGUUGAUGGCCUGCCUUUGUGCAGCCAAGUGGAAGGGGAAAAUAUUCUGAGCAACUGGCAGGAGCCAGCCUCUUCCAGCCAGGCAGGCACACUUGUGUGCUGGUAGAAAGAAAACCAGGAAGGAGCAUAAGGCCCAUCCUUUGCCUAUCUGUAACAGCUGGAGGCAAGGUGAACUGUUACCCAUACGUAUGCUCUGCCUUCUUUUAUCUUCCCCCAUCAAGGUAGCUUUCUGCAUUUUCCCUGAUACCCCAGUCAACCUGAAGUAAGAGCUAGGAUGAAGUAAUUAGAGCAUGAUCUCUUCUGUUUAUAUACAAGAGCACACUGUUACCAAAGGCAAUCCUCCACUGAGGAUGCUGACUUUCUAUUCUAAUAGUUUGAUGAUCUUUGGGGAAGUGCUGGGCUUUAUGCACAGACCCCCAAGUACCAAGAUAAGCUGGGCUAAACGAAAACAUUCUGAGGGGAAAUGCAAGAGUGUGUGAGGUCUACAAAGCCCUUCCUAUGGUGAGAUACUUGAGGGCACUGGCGUUUUUUAUGUAAUUUAAAAGUUAUAAGGUUGCUUAAUAUCAGCAAAAAGCUGUGGUAGGAAAGAGAUUUCUAACUGGGGACUUCAAUUAAGAGAAAAACAUACUGAGCAAUUCAGUGGCUAGAAGCAGAGAAAGACAUGUGCAGACCAAAAAAAAGUUGCACCUCUUGUAUAAGAAUAGCUGACCAAAGAAAUGACUUUUUCCAACAUCCUGGUAGACCCUCCAGAACUUUCAGUGUUCCAGUCAAGAAGAGGUGGCUUUCUAAAAGAUAUAUGGCAGCUCAAAGGGAAGUCCUCAGUCUGCUUCAGAAACGAGCGGGCAAGGUUCCCUGAAUCCCUUACACAAUAGGUUACACUUGAUGAUUGUAAAGGUCUCUGCUGACCUUAAACAAUAAAUUCCUGACAUUCAGCUGUUCUCAAGUGUAGCAUUUUAUUGAAUAGCAGUUUGGGAUCAAAAAUAGCUGUAAUCAGUGAAUUAAGCAGGAAAAUUAGCAAUGUAGUUUCUUCAGCACCCCUUGUGCUCCUUAAUUUGAUAGUUCUUUAUGUUACGUCCUUACAUUUUUAGUGUGCUUCAGGACUGUGUGUUGGGCACAGAAUCACGUUAUGGGGUAAUUGGGAGGCAGCUGGGCAGUUUUGGCAGCUGAGAAGGGGACAACAAGCACUCUUGGCUCUUUGGGAGGCACUGUGGAUUUGUGGGAGAAGUACGUUGAUUGAAUGCUAAGAUCAUCAGAAGUGGAAGUCAAAAGGAUUGACAAUAAUGUUUGUCUCAUCUUUAGGUUAACCACUUCCAGAAGAGAACAACAGCAUACAGUGAAAUAGGAGCUAUUGUUUGGCCUGCAGACUGGUGAUCUCUCAAAUCUCACAGCAAAAUGUUUUUUUUCAGCGCAGCUUGAUUAGUUUAAACUCAAAGUAUAGUUGUUAUUUGCGAUGAUGUUAUUUACCGUGGUCCAAAGCCAAAUACUUGAGGAAAACCCUGCUGUUGCAGCGCAUGGCUCUUGCUUGGUUCGUGUGUGCUGUGGAGGUUUGCAUUGGUCUAGAACCAGUGACCACAUCCUUAGUAAUGCACAGCUGAGACAGACUUUGCUUCACUUGCCACAGUUAUUCUGUCUUUGGAUAUCUGCUUUCCUGUGCAAAUCCCAGAAACUGCUUUUCUGCUCUUCAUUGUCUGUGAAAGAUUAAACCUUGCAACCAGCCAGUGCACAAGCAUGGUUUAAGGGAGGGACAGGAGUGAAGCUGAGGCUGGCAAGGCAGAGCAGGUUUGGUUAUCAGCUGCUGUGAAAGGGAUGGGGCCUGGACAGAUAAGAUGCCUCUCACUAGCAUUUUCGUUCAGAUGAAAAUAACAGUUGUCCUGGUUGCGCCAGAUAGUUGCAGUUUGAUGAGGCACAGGGUGUGACAAACUGGUCUCCCCUUGGGGGGCACUGUGCUGGGAGAGAAGAUCCCCAUGAGAACCUGAGGUACUCCAGAUAGCAGUGGAUGCUCAGGCUGUGACCCUGAGUGGGAGCCACCUGCAAGUAAAACCUACUGUGGGCUCACCAGUGUUGCUCUUAUGCUUCUCUAUUUGCUGACAUAGACAUAGCCUCUACCCUCUGUGACUGUGUCGCAGUCAAAACACUCUACUAUCACUUAUUUGUCAAGAUCAUAAAUGAUUAAGUUAAUUUAUAUUUCAAAGGAGCCCUCCAAAGGAACUGUCUUUGUCAUGAUGUGAUUAUCAGGAAGGCCAAAGUCUUUAGUCUCUGCCCUCUGACUUCUUGAGGACGGGAGGCUGCCUCUCCACUGAGAACCAACUCAUUCCUUUUCUCUCAAGAUUUCUUAUUUAAUAUCCUCGCACUGAGCCCAGACUGCACUAAUUUGUUACUAACUGGUGAGGAUUAAUGCAAAGGAAAUAUAAAGCUGUGAGGUUACACAACAGUCCUGGGCUUGGUUGUCAGAAGCCACUAUAACCUUUCAUUCUCCCCAGUCAGUAUUGCCACAGCUGUGAUUUCCAAGGUGAGACGUGAACUUCCAGGAGAUCUGAAGGCUCAGCAGCAAUACAAAAGAUCUGCAGUCCCUAUGUAUUGUGCUGUAAUUACUUUAUUUAGGUCCAUUUUGUUUUAUUGAUCUUUGGUUCCUCCUUGUCAUCUUAGUUUUAAUUCUCUCUUCCACAUUCCCUUGUCCCUUGCCUGUAGAGGCAACCUGGAGGAUUUCCAGCCACCAGGGCCAAAGUUUCACCAGCAGUGCCUGGUGGAACCAUGCUGCAGGUCACUGCAUAUCAAAUGGAGAUGGUCCAGCUCAGGUGAGUGCAUGCGUAUUCUGAGGUGGGUACUGAUGCUCUCUGCCACUGUGUGACUGCAGUUAUGUCCUGGUCACUCAGCAUUACUUAAGAUCCUACAUCACUUUUCACAUUGUUAGCAUCUUUCGCUACUAUUAGGCAAUCAUGCAUUUAAUUCCCUGAGCUUUACAUAUCUCUUUGAUUAACUGAUGGCUUUUUAAGGUGCUAAAUAUUAUUAGAGGCUGACUCUCCCAGCCUGUGCCGAUGAUGGUCAAAUUGAAUCCUAUUUUAUGUGUAAUUUCUCAAUCAGAGAACAAAGAGCUUUGGCAAUUUGGAUCAAAGGCACCAAGUACAAGUCAUUAUUAUUGUUGGAAUAGUGAAGUGAGCUCCUGGAAAAAUCGUGUUGACUUCUCCUUUGUAGGAUGCCUGCACUGUGGAGCCUUUGAUGUCUAAUGGUCUGGCACCAUAACUCGUGUAGAUAUAGCACUGCCUAUAAACAGAAAGAGGUAAUGAAUGAGUAUAUCAUUAUUUAUUACUUUUAAGACUUCAGAACACAACUCAGAAAUCCCAUGUGCACGAAGCAAUCCGUAUAAGACAAAAGAUAUUAGAAAGAGAGUGAUAAGCGAGCCUUUCAUUUGAUCUAGCAAAAAAAAAAACCAAAA